rnacentral:lncRNA from 1 species
UUGAGAACUGACUGCUAACUUCAAGUCAAAUUUGAUUUAUUCUCAGGGGAAUACCAUUUGUUGUAGUCAGUGAAUGAGAUUAAAUAUGUAUAUGUAACUAGAAGAUGUAUAGAGCACCAAAGUGGGAGUAAUCAAGACCCUGUUUUCUCAAGAUCUCUACAGUAAUCUUCAUUAUUUUUUAGAUCAUCCUACUGGUCAAAGAUCAUCAUCCUCGUGAAAAAGAUCAUCCUGCUGUAAGAAAAUGCUGCUCGGUCAGAUGCUUAUAGUCAGUGAAUGAGAUUAAAUAUGUAUACUUAACUAGAAGAUGUAUAGAGCACCAAAGUGGGAGUAAUCAAGACCCUGUUUUCUCAAGAUCUCUACAGUAUUCUUCAUUAUGUUUUAGAUCAUCCUACUGGUCAAAGAUCAUCAUCCUCGUGAAAAAGAUCAUCCUGCUGUAAGAAAAUGCUGCUCGGUCAGAUGCUUACUGGUUCCUCUUUCAAGUAUUAGUCUCUGCUGUUUGUUGGCCUUCUAGGUUUUGCUACACAGCUUGUUGUGAUGAUGAUGAUGAUGCUAGGAGAAGUCUUCGCACUGGAGUAUGCUCCCUCCAUCUUAAUGUUUUUGAUGGGGUUCGUUACGUGAUAUCAAUUCAUUUUAGCUAAAAACUUUUGACUUGCUGUUUAUGCCCUUGAACUUGUAGUGCUUUCUUUACAGCUGAGAAUUUUAGCGUUCCUGGACUACUUGGAAUCAUACAUUUUAAAGUAUUAUCAUAGGUUCAAUUAUCAAUUAUGUACUUUACUGUUACUGCCAAUGCACAAUUGUCUACCAGAUAUGAUGGUAGACAAUAAAUUGCGUCGAGAAAAUAUAAUCGAGACCAAGACAACAAUCGUAGUUUUUGAUUUCAAAUAUUUGAGUAUACAAUUUCUAUAAAUCCUCUGAUUCUUUCC